UACAGAGGGUGCGAGCGUUAAUCGGAGUUACUGGGCGUAAAGGGCGCGUAGGCGGUGAGAUGGGUGAGAUGUGAAAGCCCCGGGCUUAACCUGGGAAGUGCAUUUCAAACUAUCUGACUGGAGUACAAGAGAGGGUGGCGGAAUUUCCGGUGUAGCGGUGAAAUGCGUAGAUAUCGGAAGGAACGCCGGUGGCGAAAGCGGCGUGCUGGAUCUCUUCUGACGCUGAGGCGCGAAAGCCAGGGGAGCAAACGGG
rnacentral:rRNA from 1 species